GCCAGGAGCAAUAUCACCCUGAAACUCACAACUGGCAGUCCACUGAACCUAACCAGGUGUGAGCCUGGUCAGUACCUGGAUGGGGGACCUCCUGGGAAAGCUAAGGUUGCUGCUGGAA
rnacentral:rRNA from 1 species